CAGUUGACCUCAGCCCCUCCCAGAUUGCAAAGAUGGCACCGGGCAUUCUCCUUCCUGGCCUUCAGCCCCGCCCCAGCCCCUCCACUCUCCACUCGCCUCUGUGUCUGCACUGCCAGCUGCCCUGCGAGGACGCACUGGGAGCUUAAGGAGGAGAGAAACGAAUGAACUCUGUCCCGGCAGGGAGCCUCCACUUGAAGCCAGGCCUUCCUGCCUCCAGCUUCCUGAGGGCCCACUAAUCUCCAUGGCAGAGGAAACCUGCACCCUCCUGGGAUCUCAGAUGCCCCCCAAUGUCCCAGCCCACCCCAUCUGGGCUUCCUGGAGCUCGGCCAGGGCACCAGAAACUUCUGAACCAGGGGCUGCCCCCAUGACUUCGGACCUCUGCCUCACUCUUUGGAAUGAGAAGACCAAACUUCUUCAGGACUUAGGCUGGAGGCAGAUGUCAGCCCCCAGGGGUUUACUUCCGGACCCCAGCCAGAUGCCCAAGUCACCUGGGCUUCUCAGUGCAUCAUCUCUGCUACCACUUAGACCCAAGGCCCUGUCCUGCCUCACCCGGGCCACCGCCGAUGGCCUUACAGUCCCUUGUCCCCACCACCUAGCAGCCAGAGGAUCAUUGCCGGGCACUCAGACCUCAUCUAUAAAUCUACCUUGGGUCAGACCCUCCCAGGCCCAGGCCCCUCUCCCCAGCAAUGACCACAAUUUCAGGCCAGUGGAAACCUGCUACCCUGAUGUGGGUGUCAUUGCUUAGGAAGAUUUUUAUCUACCUGAAAAUUAUGUGCUGAAGAUAAAGCAAUGGCCAAUGCAGACAAGAAUUCUGUUUUCAUGGCACUUACAUUCUAUUCAGACAUCCACUGCUCAUCCCUUAAAAAUCUGGUGAACAGAAGGUAAGCUACAAAGGACUCGAGAAUUCAAAAUGAGCUCCCGUCCCCAGCCACCCUCCAGAGGUCUCCACUUUGUCCCUACAACUGAGGACGUGGCAGGUGCACCCUCUUACCCUCUGACCCUGGGACUACUUGUCGGGCUUGCUUUCAUCUUCGCCUAAAGGUUUGUACCACUGCGAUUGCCAUUUUGCAGCCAUUCUACCACCCAGCCAGAAUCAAACCCACCCUGUGCCAUCACUUUCUCCCAGAAGCCCUCCCUGACCCCCCAAGUCCUACCCAGGCGCCCUGCCAGGGACCCUCCAGCCGUGUGGACAGUGCGGCCCAACGCGUGUCCUGCUGAGGACAGCGGCAGCCCUGGCCCCUAGCACCAUGCCCCAUGGUGCUUGCUGCCUGGAUUGUUCGGGAUCGAGGCAGGGUGCCCGCUUCCAAGGCCAGAAUCAAAUGGCCGCCUCCAGUGCUUCAGGGCACUCUUCCUCCCUGGCACACCCACACCUGAACGAUGCCGGGGCUGGGAAAUCUGCUUUGCUCUGAGGGAAGGAGCGACCCACCCCAAGGCAAGUUUUUCUCACCUCCCCCAUCUCUAUUUCCUGCCCUGACAUUUCCCUUAGCCAGACUGGCUUUUAUAUUUUAUUUUUAUUUUGGUGUUUCUGGUCCUGCUGGCCACCCAUGAGGCACAGUGUAUAAAUGCAAAGAUGCAGGAAAAUUUGCCUGAGGGAGGGAUUUCCCUACCGUGCAUCUUAGCAUCCUUGGCCUGUUAGAGCGCUUGCUCCACCUGGAGUGCUCUCCACUCGUCCUCCCCGAGGCUCAAUUCCUGCGGCCUCCUUCCAGGGCCAGCCUGGACCCCUCUAUCACCUCUUCUGCCCUUCCACUCACUGCGUCCACUGCUGCCAGGGCUGCUGCCCUCACUACACCAGUCAUCGGCUUCCUUACCCCUCCCUCCCCACCCCUCUUGCCUCCAGCAGUCUCUGGCUCUCCAAAGACAAGACAGGGUCUCCUACCCUUCAUGUAAGUAUGUGUAGGAGGGUCUGCCCCAGUGUCCAGCCUAAAGGGGAUGCUGGUGGGUGAGUCGGUGAUAUGAGUAUCCUCCAUGGAGUUGCUUUUGUCAGGCUUGCCUGCUUUCUCGCCGACCACCUCUGUGAACAUACCCCACCCUAAAAGGUUUUGUUUGUUGUCAAAUGUGUAUUUGCAAGUGUGCUGGUGAUUGCCCAAACCAGAUAACUCCGUAUGUCAGACAUGCCGGUGCACACCUGAGCUGGAUAACACCACAUGUGGACUGUCCCCCUUUAUCUUCGAUCCCUGAAUGGAUGAGCUGGACUAUAUGAGGGACCACACACAGAGCCCCUGUGGCAAGCUCGUCCCCGAGGUCCCUGACACCGGCCCACAGGUGUGUGCUCCGGGGCGGGCUCCUGCUCAUCCGCCUGUGCUCCUGCGCCAUCAUGGACGCACCACUCCACUGGAACUGUCUCCACUGCAUCGUUCUCCCCUGGGACAGAUGAGAGGCUGAUUGGGACAACCAGGACCCUGAACCAUCCAUCGUGACCAGUAUGAGAUGUACUGAUCCGUGAUAUGUGUGAUUUUUAGAUAUGCUUGAUCCCCCCUUUGAGUGUUGUGUGAAAGGAAA